AACGGCCGCAGUACUUUGACUGUGCUAAGGUAGCAAAAUAAAUAGGCUUUUAAUUGAGGUCGGGUAUGAAUGGCAUAAUGGGUGAGAACUGUCUUGUAUGUUUACCUAUUAAUUUACUUAACAGGUGAAAAUUCCUGUAAAUAAACAAUAGACGAGAAGACCCUUAGAGUUUUUAAUACUUUAUAAUACUAAUUAAAAUCUUUUUUGUUGGGGCGACAUAUUAUCAUAAAACAUAAUUGAUAAAAUAUAUUACUAGACUAUUUAUAUUUAUGAAUAUAACUACCUAAGGGAUAACAGCAUAAUUUUACUAAAGAUUGUGACCUCGAUGUUGGAUUAGGGACUACUUAUAUUAGUCAUAUA
rnacentral:rRNA from 1 species